CCUACGGUGGACAGCAGUGAGGAAUAUUGGUCAAUGGGCGAGAGCCUGAACCAGCCAAGUCGCGUGAGGGAAGACGGUCCUAUGGAUUGUAAACCUCUUUUGCCGGGGAGCAAAAAGCGGUACGUGUACCGCCUCGAGAGUACCCGGCGAACAAGCAUCGGCUAACUCCGUGCCAGCAGCCGCGGUAAUACGGAGGAUGCGAGCGUUAUCCGGAUUUAUUGGGUUUAAAGGGUGCGCAGGCGGCGGGUUAAGUCAGCGGUAAAAUUUCGGGGCUCAACCCCGACAAGCCGUUGAAACUGGCGGGCUAGAGUGGGCGAGAAGUAGGCGGAAUGCGUGGUGUAGCGGGGAAAUGCAUAGAUAUCACGCAGAACUCCGAUUGCGAAGGCAGCAUACCGGCGCCCAACUGACGCUCAGGCACGAAAGCGUGGGUAUCGAACAGGAUUAGAUACCCGAGUAGUC
rnacentral:rRNA from 1 species